AGAAGUAAAAGUCGUAACAAGGUCUCCGUUGGUGAACCAGCGGAGGGAUCAUUACCGAGUUAUACAACUCCCAAACCCAUGUGAACUUACCUGUCGUUGCUUCGGCGGACCGCCCCGGGGCCCAUCGGCCGCGGAUCUACGGCGCCCGCCGGGGGCUCGAAAGACUCUUGUUUUUUUCUACGCAGACUUCUGAGUGGCAUUUAUUACAAAUAAAUCAAAACUUUCAACAACGGAUCUCUUGGUUCUG
rnacentral:misc_RNA from 1 species